rnacentral:lncRNA from 1 species
AAACAUUACCAUACCUUGCUUAGAUAAGUGUUGUUUACCUCGGAUCUGUGGAAAAUCCUAAGUUUAGGGUUUCAUCAAAUUUUUUGGACACCGAUGAAAAAUAGAUAAGUGCAGAAAAAUGAGAAAAGUACGGAACUUCAAAAGAAAAAAAAGAGAAAGGAAAAAUUAUGAGAAAUAUCACGAAGCACUUAUCUAGAAGAAUUGAGGUUGGAAAAAAGCGUACUCAAAAGAGA